GCACAAGUCUUUGCUGCUGAUGCUAUUGGCGGCGGCGGUCGGGGGGCAGUCGGGCGACACCGACCAACCGACGGUCAUAUAGACACACAUUGACGCGGGGAAGAGGAGAAGCGAGGGAUGGAGAGACACGAUGAAGAAGAAGAAGACACGUCGGAAAUCGAUCAAGUAGCCGCCA
ensembl:ncRNA Y57A10A.38 ncRNA